UACCAGCACCCCGAGUGGUCGGGACGAUUAUUGGGCCUAAAGCAUCCGUAGCCGGUCCUACAAGUCUUCCGUUAAAUCCACCUGCUUAACAGAUGGGCUGCGGAAGAUACUAUAGGGCUAGGAGGCGGGAGAGGCAAGCGGUACUCAGUGGGUAGGGGUAAAAUCCUCUGAUCCAUUGAAGACCACCAGUGGCGAAGGCGGCUUGCCAGAACGCGCUCGACGGUAAGGGAUGAAAGCUGGGGGAGCAAACCGG
rnacentral:rRNA from 1 species